rnacentral:rRNA from 1 species
UACAGAGGGGGCAAGCGUUGUUCGGAAUUACUGGGCGUAAAGGGCGCGUAGGCGGCCCGCUAAGUCGAACGUGGAAUCCCCGAGCUCAACUCGGGAACUGCGUCCGAUACUGGCGGGCUUGAAUCCGGGAGAGGGAUGCGGAAUUCCAGGUGUAGCGGUGAAAUGCGUAGAUAUCUAGAGGAACACCGGUGGCGAAGGCGGCAUCCUGGACCGGCAUUGACGCUGAGGCGCGAAAGCUAGGGGAGCAAACGGG